AACGAACGCUGGCGGCAUGCCUAUCACAUGCAUGUCGAACGAGAUCUUCGGGUCUAGUGGCGCACGGGUGCGUAACGCGUGGGAAUCUGCCCUUUGGUUCGGAAUAACAGUUGGAAACGACUGCUAAUACCGGAUGAUGACGAAAGUCCAAAGAUUUAUCGCCAGAGGAUGAGCCCGCGUAGGAUUAGCUAGUUGGUGUGGUAAAGGCGCACCAAGGCGACGAUCCUUAGCUGGUCUGAGAGGAUGAUCAGCCACACUGGGACUGAGACACGGCCCAGACUCCUACGGGAGGCUGCAGUGGGGAAUAUUGGACAAUGGGCGAAAGCCUGAUCCAGCAAUGCCGCGUGAGUGAUGGAGGCCUUAGGGUUGUAAAGCUCUUUUACCCGGGAUGAUAAUGACAGUACCGGGAGAAUAAGCUCCGGCUAACUCCGUGCCAGCAGCCGCCGUAA
rnacentral:rRNA from 1 species